UCUGUUUUGUCAAUAAAUCCUUGUUACUCACACUGCAAUUGGGUCCUCCUUCCAGAUCCCUGACAGUAUGUCUGUUGAGGAAGAGACAUGACAGCAGA